GAGGGUCGAAAGGCCUCCUACUGCUCUUAACCAACCCGCGUACCGGCCGGAAACCAUGUCUCUGCCUCGGCAGCGGCCCCAGGGGGGGCCAGCAGCCCGCCUAGCCCCUCGCGCGGCGGCGGGUGCUGCCGGCGGCGCCCAAACCAGAUGAACAUUGCAGAUGCAUGAUAUGUUUACGAACCUGUUA
rnacentral:misc_RNA from 1 species